rnacentral:rRNA from 1 species
CCUACGGGUGGCAGCAGUGGGGAAUAUUGGACAAUGGGGGGAACCCUGAUCCAGCCAUGCCGCGUGUGUGAAGAAGGCCCUCGGGUUGUAAAGCACUUUCAGUGAGGAAGAACGCCUGGUGGUUAAUACCCAUCAGGAAAGACAUCACUCACAGAAGAAGCACCGGCUAACUCCGUGCCAGCAGCCGCGGUAAUACGGAGGGUGCGAGCGUUAAUCGGAAUUACUGGGCGUAAAGCGCGCGUAGGUGGCUUGAUAAGCCGGUUGUGAAAGCCCCGGGCUCAACCUGGGAACGGCAUCCGGAACUGUCAAGCUAGAGUGCAGGAGAGGAAGGUAGAAUUCCCGGUGUAGCGGUGAAAUGCGUAGAGAUCGGGAGGAAUACCAGUGGCGAAGGCGGCCUUCUGGACUGACACUGACACUGAGGUGCGAAAGCGUGGGUAGCAAACAGGAUUAGAUACCCUUGUAGUC